rnacentral:rRNA from 1 species
AUACUUUUCUAGUCAUCUUAUAUUGUUACAUAGCGGCGUGGAUAAGACAUGCAAGUCGAACGCUGAUUCGUCGGUAGCAAUACUAGCGAGUCGGAGUGGCGCAAGGGUGCGUAACACGUGGGCAAUCUGCCGCGAAGCCUGGAAUAACCUGCUGAAAAGUGGGCUAAUGCCGGAUGUGACUGCUGGGGGGAUUCCCUUGGCACUCAAAGUUGGGGACCGAAAGGCCUGACGCUUUGCGAUGAGCCCGCGGCCUAUCAGCUAGUUGGCGAGGUAACGGCUCACCAAGGCUAAGACGGGUAGCUGGUCUGAGAGGACGACCAGCCACACUGGAACUGAGACACGGUCCAGACACCUACGGGUGGCAGCAGUCGAGAAUUUUUCACAAUGGGCGAAAGCCUGAUGGAGCGACGCCGCGUGGGGGAUGAAGGGCUUCGGCUCGUAAACCCCUGUCAUUCGAGAACAAACCCUGCUAUUGAAUAGAUGGCAGGCUGAUAGUAUCGGAAGAGGAAGGGACGGCUAACUCUGUGCCAGCAGCCGCGGUAAUACAGAGGUCCCAAGCGUUGUUCGGAUUUACUGGGCGUAAAGGGUGCGUAGGCGGUGGGGAAAGUUCGGGGUGAAAUCUCCAGGCUCAACUUGGAAAUUGCCUUGAAUACUUCCCUGCUCGAGGGUCGCAGAGGAGACUGGAAUUCUCGGUGUAGCAGUGAAAUGCGUAGAUAUCGAGAGGAACACCAGUGGCGAAAGCGGGUCUCUGGGCGACACCUGACGCUGAGGCACGAAAGCCAGGGGAGCAAACGGGAUUAGAUACCCCGGUAGUCCUGGCCCUAAACGGUGCGCACUUGCUGUGAGCGGCUUCAAAACCCGCUCGUGGCGGAGUUAACACGUUAAGUGCGCCGCCUGAGGAGUACGGUCGCAAGAUUAAAACUCAAAGAAAUUGACGGGGGCCUGCACAAGCGGUGGAGUAUGUGGCUUAAUUCGACGCAACGCGAAGAACCUUACCAAGGCUUGACAUAUA